ACUGUGAAAUAUAAAUGUCAUUGCAAGUUUAAAUAGCAUUGAAACAUGAGCCGAGUAGGCACCUAGUGAAAUCAGGUAAAUAAGAUUGAGGGCCGAUUGCCGAACGCGAAAUAUUUUAUUAAUGUCCUAUAGUAAAAUCCAUUCUACUUAUAUUGAAAGAGAAAUUGAGAGAUAAAAAGUUGCACUCUCGCUGUUUAGGUUCAUUCCAGUGCAGAGUGUGUGAGAAUGUUUGUUUGCAUUUGUGAGGGUUAAGGUCACGAAGCAGUAAUUAUUUAUACUAUACAUGUAUAGCAUCUAAUGAUGUCAUAAUGAUGUUGAAAACAUUCAAUAUCGAAAUUUUAAAUGCCUUCUCCAAAAUGCAAGUUCAAAUAUGCUACAACCAAAUGUCAAAAGCAAAUAUUUAACAAAACAAUUUUAUCUGCAAUCUUUUAGCUUGGUCUAGAACCAAAUCGUUCAUAUGCAGAACGGGCGAAUGUUCUUUUGUAAAGUUUUAAUUCACGAGUUACAUAAAUUAGAUAUAUUCUGUACGCAUUUUUUCAGUUUGUUGAUUUACCUUCCCAGUGGACCACAAGGUUUUUUACGGAGUUGCAUCUUAAAGCUAUUUUAGAAUCUUGAAUCAUAUGUUAUUUGUCGAUCUAUUUUUCAGACACUGCACACAAAAUAAAGGCUUUUGUUUUAGCUAAUCACUAAUUAUUCUCCUUAAAGUCAUGUAAUAGUCUACAGCAGUAAUCAUUAAUCAAUUAAUAAAUAAGGAACGGCUAAGUUCUGAUGUAACCGAACAUUUCAUACUUUGCAACUUAUCAGGAUAAAAGCAGAGGAAAUAUCUCCAGGUGCUUGCAAAACUUUAUUUAGAAAUGUUGGUAAUUCGUGGACCAACUUCACAUAUUUUUGGCAAUACACUAGAGUAUAUCAAAUAUUAUACCUUCAGUAAUUUUGCUAAGAUAUCAUACAUGUUGGACAAUUUAUAAGGAGUAAAGUCAAAUUAGAAUCAUGUCAAAGUUCACGCAAGUGAGGAAAGUUCUCUGAUCGCCAUUCAUUUGGGAGUGGCCAGAAAAGAUUCAAGCAGCUCACGACUUUCGGUCUUUGCCCAAGUAUUCUCUGGGUAGCCAAAGAACAUUCGUUUGAAAGUGAGCAAAAGUGAGAAGGCGAAACAACCCCUACACAGGGUUGUGCGCUGGGUUUGAGGCCCGCUACGUAAAGAGGCCCCAAUGAACAGUAAAAAACAGCCACGGAUAUCCCCUUUUGAUGACGACCAUGGCAAACGAAAUAAGGUUUACGAUUUGAGGGCAUGCACCUGGAAUGUCCGGUCCCUUAAUUGGGAAAGUGCCGCUGCCCAGCUAGUUGAUGUCCGGGUGAAAAUAAAGGCUGACAUCACCGCCAUCCAAGAAAUGCGAUGGACGGGGCAAGGACUGAGGCGAGUAGGUCCUUGUGGCAUUUACUACAUUGGCCAGUGGGAUUCAUGAUGGGAGAGAGGCUCCGUCUCCGAGUACUGUCAUUCACUCCGGUGGAUGAACGUCUAGCCACAAUCCGUAUCAAAGCGAAGUUCUUCAACAUAUCGCUGAUUUGCGCUCACGUCCCGUUGGAAGAGAAGGACGAUGUGACUAAAAAUGUAUGUGCGUCUUCCACGAAACUUCUGUUUAAUAUAUGCCAACACAAUUUCAAUAGGGUUUGCAUCGGGCGACCAAAUCCAAUGUAACGAUGCCAGAUUUAGUUUUCCACUGAGUACUGAGUUUGCUGCGGUGUUUAGGAUCGUUGUCCUCCUGCAGAAUCCAAUCUUCAGAUAGCAGUAAAGCCUUUUUGUAUAUUUUUACCAUUUUCUCGGCAUUUAGGUUGUCAGUAAAGAGGUACAAAGUGCCGAAUCCCUGCUUUGAGUAUCAGCCCUAAAGAUGUACUUUUAUUCCAUGUUUUACGGUCCGCUGAACAAGCCUAUUGGUGGAAGUUGACCAGGCUCGCGUAAGGACAGAACGUGCCCAUAUAGAACAUUCAUCAGUAAAAAUGACAUUUUCAAAAUCUCUAACAAUAUUCUCAUGCGCCCAAGCGAGUCGCUUUGUCAUAAUUUUUUCAGUCAACAGAGGCUUCUUCAUUGUGUUGCGCCAUUUCAGUGUGAAGUCAGUAUGUAUGUCAGUCAGUAUGAAGAAGGGUUCGGAUAGUUUUGUAGGAUAUAUCUAAACCUUUUGCCAUUAAUUUUGCUUGUCCUUGCCACAGUUUUAAAGCAGGAUUUUCGCGAAAACAGAUUCACUAUUCUUUUUCAUCUUUUUUGUUCACUUUUCCUAUCGAACCACGUUCUGGUAAAUCAUCAACAUUUUUAACCACUAUAUAUCGCUGUAUCCACUUCUGUACAAAUGUCUUCGACUUUCUCAUAUAUUUAGCAGCCGCUGCUUGCGACAUUUUGGGACCUUUCGGGUGGAUGCAAAGGAACACAGCUUCGUAGUGCGACGAGUACUUAGCACUCAUGGC